CAACCCUCAAGCCCCCGGGCUUGGUGUUGGAGAUCGGCAAAACGCCUCUCGGGGCGCGCCGUCUCCCAAAUCUAGUGGCGGUCUCGCUGUAGCUUCCUCUGCGUAGUAAUUCCCCUCGCACUGGGACGCGGCGCGGCCACGCCGUUAAACACCCCACUUCUGAA
rnacentral:misc_RNA from 1 species